ACUUAUUUUUUUAUGUUUUAAGCCAUUUGAACGUUUUUGGAUAUGCAGGUUUUUCAGAUCUGGAAGACUUCUGGGACGACUUACCUGUUAGUCGUCUAAAAUAUAAUGCACUAGACGACUUCCAGGAAGUUUUCCAGACGACUUCCAUUUGGGGUUUUUAGCUUAAUGUGGAGAGAAAGUGAGAGAUAUGUUGUGUUUAGUUCAUAAGAAUGGAGAAAGAAGAAUGGUAAAUCAUUUUUGGGAGCAUUAAGAGCUUCAAAUUGGUUGUUCAUGGUGGUUAGGGUAUUGAUGACAAUGACAAUCUUGUAAUUACUUGAAGAUGAUGAGGGUGAGAGAGUAAAAAUGUCAUUUUUGAAAAGAAAAAAAAUUGAUGGCAUUUUCGUGAAUUAUAUGAACUUGUGGGGUGAAUAGAGCAAAACAAAUUUCCAAAAAAAAGAGAGAUUAGUUUUGUGUUUGACUUUGAGUUGUAGGUCAAUUUUGCAAAAAGCCCAAUUAACAUCAACAUCUUUGUAUUCUUAUUUCUUACAUACAUAAACCAUUUCCCUUUCACUUCCUCUUUUACUUCAUUCCAAAAUCCCAACUUUUUUAUUUCAAAAUUUAUAAGCUUAUGAGAUUUACUCAAGUUCAUAAUUCUUGGUCAAGAAUGAAUGGGUAACUUUCACUAAAAAGUUAUAUGUGAUUGGAGAAGUUAAAUAUGAACCUCACAUGAUCUAAUAAUCAUCUUUGAAUUUUUUUAUAGAUAUGUUCGCAUAGAAAAUUUAUGUAGAAGUCUUCUCCAGACUUCUACAAAAGUUUUCUGGCCAAUGAAAAGGUUAAUUUUGCAAUUGACUUUCUGUGUGUUUUUAGAGAAGACUUCUCUCGAAAUCUUCCAACUUUUCUUUGUUAACAAAAAAACGAGAAGACCUACCGGGAAACCUUGUCGGAUAAACAUGUUAGUUUUACAAUUGACCGAAUUGUGUCAGAAAUUUGACUUUUUCAUAAAGUCUUCUCAACUUUUGGUGGAAGUCAUCUUACUUUUGGUGAGAGCCGUCUUAGGUUACUUUUGCAAUUGACAAAGAAAAAUAAAUAUUUAAUUUUAAUUAGAAGACUUCGAGGAAAGUAUUAUGGCAGAAAACUUCAAUGGAAGUCGACAAGAUUUUGUCUUUUAAAGAAAAUCAAAUUUGACAAUUAAAUAUUUAAGUCUUCUUGUUAAAAUUAUAUAUCUAAGUUUCAAUUGUCAAUUUGAAAAUUACAAAAGUAACCUAAAACGACUUUCAUCGACGAUGAGAAGAAUUCCACCAACGUUGAGAAUAUUUCUAGGGAAGUCUUCUAAAGAAAGUCAAAUUUCUGACACAAUUCUGUCAAUUGCAAAACUAACAUGUUUAUUCGAGAAGACUUCACGGUAAGUCUUCUAAGGUAUUUUUGAGACUUAGUCUGAAUAGAAACCCUAACUCUAACUUAGUCUGAAUAGAAACCCUAACUCUAACGCCUUUCAUAUCUGUUUCAAAACCUCAAUCAAUCAACCGAGCAAUUACCUUGCUCACACCACUGCUAUUUACAUUUAAACAUGUUUGCCUAGCUUGACCACAUAGGUAAUAAAUCUUUUGUGUGCCUUAUCUCCCUGGGAAUUCGAUCCCUAAGUGCUACAACUCGAUCUCUUAUUUGAGAAACUACAAAUCACUCCUUAGGGUAAUUUGAGUGAUAUCAGUUAGUUUUUGUAAACUUGUAUUUUUAAGAGUGUUUAGUAACUUUAAGAUGAGUUUUUAACUUCCAAAAGUGCUAAGUAUUUUCAAGAGUAUCAAGUCAUGUGCUUUAAUGUGUCUUCUUAGAUCAUAAUGUAUACCUUUUUUUAACUUUCAUGUGAUUUAAAAUUUCAGUUUUCACUGAAAUUUAAGUUUCCGCUUAAAUUUUAAUUUCCCACUUAUAUUUUAAAUUCCCGCUUAUAACUUAACUCUUUCUGGAAGAGUUCUGAUAAGCUCAAAUUAACUUUCAAGCUACUCUCUCAAAUAAGAGGUUCAUUGUAGUAUUUGAGGAUCGAAUCCACAGGGAGCGUGGACACACAAUAGACUAUAAAUAUUAAGAUCAAGCUAGGCAAAUAAUAGUAUAACAGUAAACGGAAAAUAGAUAUAACAGUUGUAAGUGAUAAGGAGAAAACACUAGACCUAGGGAUUUAUUAUUCAAGGGAUUCAAAACACAAAUCAAGGAUGCUAAGGAUUUUAUAGAUUUAAUUCUAGAACUCGAAUACAAUUAUAAGAUCUCCACCUCUUCCUGUGAGUCUACAUGUUUAAAUCUUUAUUCAUAAUCUCGUACGCGAUACCAAACGAGAAUAGAUCGAUACACCUAUAGGGUGUCUAUAGAUACCGAUUAAGUUUAACUAAAUUCCUAGAGCAACUCUUGUAUUCGCCUAGGUAUCUAAUACAGCAGAGCUCGGGUUCCAUUAAUUCAUUGCACUCUCGUGCCUCUCAAUUGUCCUUUGGUUCAAGGUUCAAGCAAUUAGUCACACUCUCAUGUUAUUCUAACUACUCUAGAUCCUAGUAUAUAAGCCACCCUGGUGUAGAAAUCUAUAAACAAUCCUAGCAAUUCUAAUUGAAUAUCAGUUUGACAUUAAGCUCAUGAAAUCCUUAAAUCUAAUAGGAUGAUUACUUAGACAUGAAAGCAAUAACACAAAUCAUGGUCUGAAUAGAAAUCAUAUAAAUCAAAUAGAAAAACCAAGGAGUUCCAAUCAACCACUGAAGGAUAAUUAAUCUUCUCUCCAAACUUAAGAGAAAACAAUAAAAUAUGAAAUGCAAAAACUUAGUCAUCAACAAUGGCUUAGAAAACUAUAUAAACUAUGUAUCAAGUCGUCCAAGGGCAUUAAGGUAAUUUAUGGUGACUUCUGGGCCUUAGUCAGUCAUAAAAUAGACUCGGCCCAUGUUAUGGCAUCAGUGUCAUUUGAUACCUAUGUAUUAGUGUCGAUCGACACUCUUCCAUAUCCUCGACAGCUUCCUCUCGCGAGUCAGGCGUACCAUUCUUCAGUAAAACAAGCAUAACGACUUCUAUAUGAUGCUGAUUGACCUCAAACCGUUGGCAUUGGAAAGAUAACUCAAAACUGUAUCUUGUGUCAAAAGAUCAGCGCAAUCGCACUAUGGGAAGGUCUCCAUCCAUAGCUUACAUCAGACGCACCUAUGCAGUUCUGCAUCUCGAAUAGCUCCAAAAUGACCAAAGUAUCCAGAACAUACCUGAACCUCAAAAUACUCUAAAACACACUCCAAACAGAUAUAAUAGACUCAAUAAAAUAAUUUUACCAUGGUCUAAAAUAAGUAAAAUUCAUUUUAUAUCAACUCCCCCAGACUUAUCCUUUUGUUUGUCAUCAAGAAAAACAUAGAAUAAUCCUGUUAAAAAGGUUUUGCAGGGAUUCAAACAAUUUUAAACUUACUACCAUCACCUGUUGCAAGCCACAUCAAAUCAAUGGCGACUUUAGAUGCACUUUAUAUACUAUAGCAACUAAAUCCAUUCUAGCCAACAACUUACCUAAUAAUGUCUGACUAACCCAUCUACUAACCUCAUUUCUUACAUGUAAAAGGUGCAGGCUUUACCUUGGGAGUAUCGAUCAAAGGACACAUGGACUCUUACUAAAACAAGUAUCUGGACCAACAUGUAGGCUUUUCUGACUCUUUCCCUCUCUCUUCUCUCUUCUCUGAAUCCUAUUAUCUCAAUGCCAAUGAAUAGUGAUGAAUAGCCAUCCUGUUCAUCUUAUUGACUUCCUCAACAUAUGUAACUUUCUCUUCUUUUUGACAAAGUAUAGGCGAAUAAUGGGGUCAUCGUUAAUGUACCUACUCCUCGCUUCCAAUAAUGUGUGAGAUCAUUCCAUUAGAAUAGAAUAAUGGGGUCGCAUGAAACAUUUCUAUCCCUCUAAACUGCAGGAAAUCAUCUCAAUCUUUUAUACUUAUGGAUGCCGAAGAGAGGUGAAAGAGGAAUAAGAAACUCACAGACUCUAAUACCUUCAAACUUGUAGGAGGAAUCUGAUCCAGUGUAUACCAAGCCCAAAGAUAAGAAAAUAAUUUUCAAUUAGGUUGCAGGUCAGCUUCGGUUCCUUCAAACAUUCUCAGCAAGUGUGGAUAUGAAUGGUAGUUCAUCCACUUUGGUAUCUAUAGUACAAUAUGCAAUCAGUAAAUCUAAGAAUUGUGCUAGAGAGUUGUUAGAUAAUAAGUAAAAAUUAAAAAAUAUCAUAAAUCUCCUUCUUGACUCUAUAAAACAAUUUCAAAAACACCAAUUGCAAAGAUAGGGCGAAUCAAGAAGAGGAAUGGAUCAACCAAAGAGGAAGGAUAAGUGUUGCGCAUAGUUAGGGCGAGUGUACGGACCUGUCUUAUCCCCACACGGAUCCAUCUUGGCUGCUCAUUCAAACUGAAGCAUCUAAGCCAUCCAUCAAGUCCAUACACGCCUCUCCUUUACAGCUAGCACCAGAAAAUCAAAGACCAUCCUUCUCUCAUCCUAGCCAUCCAAUCUAUCUUGCAUUUAUGUCCAUAGGAUCUAGGUUUAUUUUUUGAUACAUGUAAAGGCAUAUAUAAUUUUUAGAUGACGUUUUGUAACACUUAAGGGAGUAACGGGGAUUUCCCCUCUCCAUUUCAUGAAUGAUAAACUUGUUCUUGAAUCUGAAACCCUAAUCUAUAAUCUCUUAUUCUCCUAAUCUCUCAGCCUCUUAAUCUCUGUUCCUAAGUCUCUUAUUCUCUCAUAAACACUCUCAUCAAUCUCCCUUUCUAAAUCACCUAGAGCAAGCUCUCAUCUUUCUCCAUUGGAGUUUAUACACACACACAUACAACCAGAGAAGAGAACUCUACAAAUCUCAUAUGGUAUCAGAGCCAGGUUCAUCAGAACCUGAGCUGUAGCUUCCGCAAAGCACUUGCUCUCAUCUCAGCUCAAACCAAAGCCAAGAAGACAUGUUCAUCCGAGCUCAGAUUCUUCAAGAAGAAGAAGUGUGAAGCCGUGAAGUGUUCUCCUUGUCUCUCUGUCUCUACUGUUCGUCCUGAUGGUGAUUCUCCUUGGAAGCAAAGGUGUAUGGAGAGGCUUAGCAAACCUGCUUCAAAUCGCCUUGUUCAAGAAGUGUUCUCUCAUCCGGUGUCAAACUGGUGUCCAAGAAGAUGUCGCCUAGACGACAUGGAACAAGGAGAGGUCUUGAGUAUGAGAAACAAGAUGGUGGCCAUGAACUGAAGGAGAAGGAGGUGGGUGAUGAUCCAGGCUCUCAAAUCCAACAAAAGUCAUGGCCGGUUUCACAAAAUGCAAAAGGAAUCAACCUGGUUCCUUCUUGUAAGCGAUUCUAUAAACCAUCUUGAUAAUGAGCUUGUGUUGUUGACUGGUUGUGAUGAUGUGAUGUGAUUGAAAACCUGAGGAUAGUUUAAAAGAUUACUAAAUGAAAUAAAAUGAAUUUAGAAUCUGUCCCAGGAUACUUAAAGAGCUUGGCUUCCUAGUAAUCCUAAAAUCUUACUAGAUAUACUAGGCUUACUAGCAGCAGUGUAAGCGCAUUUAAAAAUGUCUAGUAACUUAACAGUAUUACUAGGAUUACUAGAUAUGUUAAUAUGCUUAGCUCCGGUUCAUAAUGAUGCUUGUUGUGAUUGAUUGAAUCUUCUUGCAUACUUGGAUUGAAACCGAAUUGAAAGCUGUUGCAUAUAGUCUUGUGGCUGUCUUACAUUGAAGCAUUAGAUUCAUGUCUAAAUGCUGAGUAAAGAAGCUUUAAAAAUGCCUAAGUAGCUUGCAUAAAACUGAAAAAGAAAGUGCUUGUGCUUAGAGAGAUUGCUUGCAAAGAUAGAACUUGAAAAUGACUUGUUUUAAUCUGUUGCAAUGCUUGUGAGAUUGGGAAUCAAACUUGAUGAUUAAUCAAGGAUUGAACCCAAUACUCUUGUGUCUUAUCUUUGCUGGAGUUUGAGUGGUGUUUCAGGUUCACAAGAAGUGUUCUUUGCUCACCAACUAUCCAAGACAAGAGGAAGACUUGACCAUUGUGUGGAGCAAUGGGAAGGUACUUGUGUGUAGAAGCUGGUUUAAGAAGCGCAGGCCACGAGGUUGUUGAGCUCGUGGUUCAAGACAUACAAGCGGAAGACCAACCAUUGUGUGGAGCAAUGAGAAGGUUCUUGUGUGUAGAAGCCGGUUUAAGAAGCGCAGGCCACGAGGUUGUUGAGCUCCUAGUUCAAGACACACAAGAAGAAGAAGGUCACCACCUAAGCCACGAGGAAGGCCGGUGAUCUGAGGGUACUUGAAGCUGAAGGCAAAAGGGUGGAUCAGUUAUUAAAGCACAACUGUUAGGGUGAUGUGCUCCUGGUCUUGAUGUUCAUUGAGGCUCAUUUCAAGUUUGGAUCUCCCCUAUACUCGGUCUGAAGCUUGCGGUGGGUGUUGGGGAUGGAUUUACAUCCUCCUCAAGGCUCAUUAGACAUUGAACUAGGCCCAUAUUGCUAGGAAGACCUAGGCCUCAUCUUUCUAUAUAUAAGGAGCUACCUCCUUAUGAGUGAAGGGGAUCUUAUCUUCUCCAUUUUUAGACCUAACACUUCUUCAAAGAGUUUAUAGAUUCUUAGAUUUAUUUCCACUUGUAAUCAUUCAUGUAUAGAAUCUUUGAUCUAAAAAUUGUUUUUGAUAUCCACUUCUCAUUUGAUUCUUUCAAGAGUUCUCCUAAACCUCAAAGAAUCUAACCAUUAUCUUUAGAUUCUUUUAUUUGUAUGAUUCAACAAACACUAUAAUCAUAAACACCAUUUUUGGAUCAAACAGUGGGGAUUCAAAUGAGCAACCUGAAGAGCCAAAGUUCAAUACCUGUUUCCUCCUUAUCAUUACAAGAGAAUGAUAAGAUGAAGCUCGUUGCCAACAUUAUGUGGGAAGUCCACAGCCUGCUCCAAAGAGGGUAGAGAGGAUGUUGUGACAAUGGAGAAAUGAAGCCUGUUGCCAACAUUCUGUGGGAAGUCCACAGCCUGCUCCAAAGAGGGUAGAGAGGAUGUUGUGACAAUGGAGAAAUGAAGCCUAUUGCCAACAUUCUGUGGAGAAGUCCACAGCCUGCUCCAAAUAGGGUAGAGAGGAUGUUGUGACAAUGGAGAGAUGACUUGUGGUUCUGUCCAUGGUGGCUGAGUCACCAUAGCCUACACAUCAGAUGAGUGUAGAGAGGACAAUAGACAUGGAAGGAAGAGCAUCACCAAGAGGGUGAUGCAAUUAAGACCAAGACCAUUGCAAGCUGAUCAUGGAGUGAUCAAGCCGAAGUAGAGGGAAGAAAAAAGCUACUCAAUAAGCUUCUGGUGUGAUAUGCUUGGAGAGUGAGCUGAUGUAUCUCCUCAGUGCAAUGGUGGUUAAGUGGGGCUGUAAGCAUCAAGUGUGAAGAAGAUGGAGGUGUUCCCACAAGAGUGAUCAUGGAGCUUAGUAUGCGCUUACCUUCAAGCUUGGAUCUUUCCUAUACUCGGUCUCAAGCUUGAGGGGGAGUGUUGGUGAACUUGCAUGAUACAAGAAGGAGCUGAUAAGCUCAGCAAGUGAGGGAUUAAAGUGACAAGCCAAUCCAGUCACUCCUCACAAAAGAAAAAGGGAAGUUUCCCUAAACCCAAUUCAAUUAAUCGCUUUCAACAUAUCUAGUAAUCUAUCAGGAAUAAUAGUUUUACUAAAGAAGAGUUGUUAAGAAUCAUUUGAAUUCGUUAGGAAUACUAGUUUUACUAGACGGCAACAUAUCUAAUAAUAUAUAAGGAAUACUAGUCUUACUAAGACGGUCUAUAAGCAUGAAUUGAUUGAGUUAUGUUCUUUGAUAAGUACUGAUACACUUGUGGAAUAAUGUAUCAGGUACCUUACUUGGAGACUCAAUGGAGAGGAUCAGGUCGUUCCUAGCCUUUCAAGAUGGCAUGAAGUCCGGUGAAAGGGGGAGACACUAAACCGGUUCUAUAGAAGAGUCCAAGAAGGUGUGUGAGGUGUGUGAAGUUUAGGCCGUGAUCCAGAGCUUCUUGUGUCCAACCACACUGGUUCUAAGGCACAAGAGCUCACUGGCCAAUCCCUAGGCUUUGGAGAUCUCUACUAUUUUUCCCUUGCAAGGUUUUGUCCCAAAGGGUUUUCCUUGUAAGGUUUUUAAUGAGGGAGACUCUUCAGAGUUCCAAGCUUGACUUAGGAUCUCCUAAAGUCAAGCUUGAGGGGGAGUGUUGAACUAAAAAGGAGAUAGAGCUUGUACAUUAAUAGGGCAAGCUCUAGAAGAUGUCCAGAAGAGUUCAAUCAAGCUUCAUAAGUGUUCUGAAGUAUCUAUAUUGUGAAGUCAAGUCUAGGAGAGACUUAGACUGAUCAUGUGAAGUGUUUGGAGGAGUUAGAGAGAAGAUGGCCUCAGGUGCAAAGAUAGGGCGAAUCAAGAAGAGGAAUGGAUCAACCAAAGAGGAAGGAUAAGUGUUGCGCAUAGUUAGGGCGAGUGUACGGACCUGUCUUAUCCCCACACGGAUCCAUCUUGGCUGCUCAUUCAAACUGAAGUAUCUAAGCCAUCCAUCAAGUCCAUACACGCCUCUCCUUUACAGCUAGCACCAGAACAUCAAAGACCAUCCUUCUCUCAUCCUAGCCAUCCAAUCUAUCUUGCAUUUAUGUCCAUAGGAUCUAGGUUUAUUCUUUGAUACAUGUAAAGGCAUAUAUAAGCCUUAGAUGACGUUUUGUAACACUUGAGGGAGUAAGGGGGAUUUCCCCUCUCCACUUCAUGAAUGAUAAACUUGUUCUUGAAUCUGAAACCCUAAUCUAUAAUCUCUUAUUCUCCUAAUCUCACAGUUUCUUAAUCUCUGUUCCAAAGUCUCUUAUUCUCUCACAAACACUCUCAUCAAUCUCCCUUUCUAAAUCCCCUAGAGCAAGCUCUCAUCUUUUUCCAUUGGAGUUUAUACACACACACAUACAACCAGAGAAGAGAACUCUACAAAUCUCAUACCCAGUGUUAUAUAGUCCAAGAUUGGUGGAAAAAUAAACCAUAUGUAAAUAUUUAACAAGGAAAAACAAGUUUUACCUUCCGUAUGUGAUGAGCGUCGAUCAACAUUGAUCAGAUGUCGCCCGAUGCUCGUGUGAAGUGGUGUCAACCGAUACUGGCCAGUCGUCGUUCGAUACUGGUGUAUUAACUCUACUUCCUUGGAUCUUUUCUUUUUCUCGAUGAACAGUGUUUUUGCUACAUUAACGUCUGCGACAGUGUUGUUCGACACUUGCUACUGUGCCGUUCAACACUUGCUACAGUGUCGUUCGAUACUGAUCAGCAUCUUUUUCUGAAAUAAAUAAAUACGAAAAUUUAGUAUAAAAUGAAAACUUAAUAUAACUAAAAUUACUUAAUAGUGGGUUGCCUCUCACUCAUCACUUAUUUUCAGUCAUUAGCUUGACUUAUGGAGAUCUCUGAUUCAGUCCGAAUGAGAAUGAGAACGUGCUUCAAAACAAGUUUCAGUGUCUCUUUUCCUCAAAUUGUUGAUGCAGAUGAUAAGAGCUCCUGCAGAAGCUUUCCCUUUGCCUCUCAUCUCUGGAUCACAUAGCACCCUGACCUUGGUCAAAGGCUGUAUACCUCCUUUGCAUCACACCCUAUACUCAAAACUUCCCUUGUGACAUUGUGAAGGAACCAGUGACAAGAAAUCUACAUCUACCUUCUUUUUUCUAUUCUACUUUCUGGUCCUUCCCCUAGACUUAGGCUUUGCAGUCUCGGUUUGUUUUGAAGUUUGGAGGGUAUCAACCGAUACUGAUGUCUGAGUGUCGAUCGACGCUGAUGUUGAUUUUGCAGUCUCGCGAUUUGAAUCAGUUGUUCUUUAGACAUCUCUAUCAUGAAAUAAACUCCUCUCUGUUGUUCUUCUCCACGUGAUCAUAGAAGACACUUUCAUCGAUAUUAGUCUGACACAUCUUAUUCUUCUUCAGAUCACAAACUGUCCCCACUGUAGCCAUGAAGGCUCUUCCAAAAAGAAGUGAAAAUGUCCAACAAGAUUUGAUCUCCAUGACAUGAAAGUCCAGAGGGACAGUGCAGUCUCCAAUCUCUACUUUAACAUUCCUGAUCAUGCCGGCUGAGUUUGUUCGGGAGUUAUCUACGAAGGUGAAACUAUCCUCAGAAGGCUCAAACUUUACUCCUAAUUAUUCAGCAGUGUCCUUUGCCAUGAUGCUGACCACCAAUUCAGUAUCGCAGAGGGCGUUCGGAAAAUUGUGGCUAUGUAUACAUCAUGGAAUCAUGAACUCCUCAGGAUAUUGUACCUUCUUUAGUGUCCUCUUGGGUUUACGGCUGACCUUGUUAAAUAGCAGAUCAAUGUCCUUAUAUGUCUCUCUGCUUUCUCAGAAGAAGUUUGUACUUAUGAUAUGCAUCCUCGAAAGACAUAUCCUUAAGAAUCCUUUUUACUCUCUUUUGAAAUCCAUCAAGUUCAGCUCUGUUAGCUUCUCUUCUGAGAUGUUUGGGAACAUAGGGUUUUCUAGAUUUUACUCUCUUCUCAACUGGAAUUCUUUCUUUCGUUGCCUGCAGAUCCAUGACAGGUUGAUGCUCGUCCAUAUGGUGUCAAUCGACAUUGGGUGUAUGUCAUCGAUCGACACUCUCAACGAAUAAGGGUACAGCUGGGGUCGAUUUCUCUUGUUCUGGUACAUGUGCAGGUUGCUGGUUAGUGUUAACUGUUGUCUUUCAUAGUUGCAUGAUAGGCCAUAGAUUUUACCCACUUUUACCCAUGGUUUAUAAGUGUUUUAACUACUAUUUAUUAUAUUAUAGAGUCUAUUUAGUAUAUUUAUAGGAUCAUGAGUGAUUUGAAAGAAAGUGAUAAUUUUGGAGCAUUUUGGAGGUAUUUGGAGAAAGCAUUCGAGCUGACCAUCGAGCACGACCAUCGGUCCACACUGAAGAGAAAUAAUCGAUUGAUGUUCACAUAGUGACAUCGAUCGACGGCAAAGCACAUAGAACCCCGUUUGGUCCAAGAAGACUUAAAGCCCAAGUCUUCACCAAUUUACAACAUUACCCCUGACGAGUUUUAACCUAAUUAUAUAAGCUUGCCAACAUGUUAGUGGCAAAGUGUGCUUUCUUGUUUAACUAUUUUCACUGCAAAAGGUUUUCUAGGAUUUUUUGUAGAUUGGAGAAAAGAUCCAAAGAGAUUUGUGAUUGGAACUCCAUUGAUAUCUAUCUAUUUAUCUAUGCAGUUUUUAUACCAAAUUGAUGUUAUGAAUUGCUUAGCCAUGUCUGAGUAGUUCUCUUGUUAGGUUUAGAGUUAAAAUAGGUUAUGAAGGAUUAGCCCCAACUAUAGAUUGCUAAGUUGUGAUAUUCAUCAUUAGGAUUGUCAUUAAAGCCAGUUUGUAGUUUAGCUAGGUUGAACUUGAUCUAGGAGUUUGAGGUAAAGGUCAUCACUUGCAUCUCACCCUGAAUCCAUCCUAAUUGAGCUAAGAUUGCUAGACUAAGGCGAAAGCUGAUAUAUGAAGCUUAAUGAGUACAUUCAACCUGCGUGAUAAAGCUUGGCCAACCACGUUGAUCGAUAUUCUAAUUGAAUAAUUGGUUGACGGUUCAUCAAGUGUAUUGAUCGAUAUUCCUAUAGUAUCAUCGAUCGACACUUUUAUCUGGUCAAUAGACAACCUAGAAAGCGAGAGCCUAUCGGUUUGUUUAUAAGUGUUGAGCUCUAUAAUAUCAUGCAUACAACUUGUUAGGCAUCUGUAGCAUUAUAAUCUUGAUUACCUGAAUAAAAGCCUUAAGUCUAGCUACUUUCAUCUAAGUACCAAAACCCCAAUCAAAUCAAUCGAGCAGCUGCCUUGCUCACAAACAUGCAACUUUUCAUUUAAUCAUAAUCAACAUAGCUUAAUCAAUCUGAUUAGAAUUAUUAGGUUCCAUAGCUCCCUAUGAAUUUAAUCUCUAAAUACUACAAAUAAAGCUCUUAUUUGAGAUAGUAAUUCACUCCUUAGGAUAAUUUGAGUGAGAUCAAAUUUGGUGCCGUUGCCGGGGAGCUUUGAUUGCUUGAUAGAUUUAAUUUAAUUUAUUCUAGGUUAUUUCUUAAAACCACUUUCUGACACAAAAUUUUUUUCUUAUAUUUUCAUGUGCAUGCCCAACAGUACCUGAAGCAACAAGGAAAUUCAACUGCUAUUCUCAUCAGAUCCUGCAAGUUUGGAACAAUCAAUUCGCAAAGGAAGACGCUCCUCAUUGAUCGACAACAACACCGGUUCGUCGAUCGAUUCUUGUCAACCACCGUCGACCCAGACACCAGUCUCGUCGAUCGACACUCGCUCACUACCGCCGACCGAAGCUACUUUUCCAUCGACCGAUAUCUUCCACGCGACGUCGAUCGAUACUUCAGUCCAAACAUCAAUCGAUACUGAGCCGCUAGACAUGGUUGCGACUUUGAUUCUUGUACGAGAUGAUAAUGGGGACCUGCAUGCCCAGAAAGGUCAUCUGCGUAAUGCGGCAGGUCAGAGGAUAUAUGCUCAGGGAGCUGCAAUCCCUGAGUGCGAUACUGAUGCUACAUGAGCUACUCAACUUGUAGAUGAUGCUGCUCGACCAAAAACGUUGGCUGAUUACAACCGUCCAGAUCAGUAAUACGCCAACAGAUUAACUAUUUGUCCUCAUGCUAUCCAAAGAGGUGAUUUCGAGGUGAAUCCGCAGUACUACACACUCGUGGGACAUACACCCUAUUGUGGGUUAUGUCACGAGCAUCCUAUGGACCGUCUGGAGAGGUUCGAGGAUCUUAUAUUUGCUAUAAAAGUCAAUGGAGUCCCUAAGGACUACCUACUUUGCAAGCUCUUCAAGGACUCACUUGCUGGAGAGGCUUCGCAUUGGCUUAAGCAGUUACCACCAGGAUCUUUUACAUCCUGGGCCGACAUCAAGAACGCAUUCUUGUGUAACUUAUUCGAUGAUGCAUGUGUUGAAAACUUGAGGAGCAAGAUUCGCGCAUGACCGUACAUAAUCUAUCAGAAGCUCCUGGUUCAGAUUCAAGUCUUAUCAGAGGAAUGCCCACACCAUGGAUUCAAUGAAGUACAACUGCUCAGUAGUUUCUUCAGAGGCAUCGCGGUGCAGUAUCAGACGGCUCUUGAUGCUUGGAACUUCAACACUAGGAAUCCAGAAGAAGCAGUGAGAAUUACUGAGAACUUGGCAUCUAGCAAAACACCAAGAACACUGAUUUUGAGAGAAAGAGAUCUAUAGCCAUCCUUGAGAAUGACCAGAUGGACGAGGUUAGGGAAAAGCUGGACAGUGUUUACAAGCUUCUCAAGAAGCAAGUUUGCUUAGUAGAGGAAGCAGAAGCUGUAGACAUAGAUGUAGAACCUAAAUUCCACACAAAGUAUUUGAUAGUGAUCGGGUUGAUCUAAGGAAGAUAAAUAAUGUGGGGAAGAUAUAUUUAGAACACAACGAUGUUAAAUAGUUUCCAGUAGGUGAAAAUAGACUAUUGAUAACUGGGAUCGAACACAACGAGUCAAACUAGAUCGAAUGAAACACACAAGUUCGAUCAAGAAGGAAUCUAAAAGUGGGAAGACAAUAAGAUUGAUAUGAAUGUAAGGCUCUCUCUAGGGUUUUCAACGGUCCACCUCCUUGUUUCUUCUCCUUCUUUUAUAGCAAAUCGACUCCGAGAUCUCCGUGCCAGCUCCGCGAUCUCAGUUUCUUGUUGCGCGAUCAUUGCGACCUCUGUGACUCCUUCUUCGAGCUUGAUUCUGGUUGUGGGCCUUGGCAUGUCUCGGCCCAUGUCUAUGAUCGGGGCCCAUUUCGGUCUUGACCAAAAUUGGGUCCAACAUUUGUCCUCCACCCCUUUUUUGAUUCGAUCGAAAAGGAAAAAGGGGCGGUUAUCCUUUGGUCUGGAUUUUACGGUUAACAUCAUUCGGGUUCGGUUUUAAUGAUUGUUUUCGAAAAGAACCGUUUGUCGGCGUGCUUUCUUUUAUUAUUAUUUUAAUUGGUAACGGAUACUUUAGUCGUUGCUAGGGAGUAGACUAGGUUAUAAUUGCCUUUCUCGAUAGCGAUGAUAGAGCUGUUAGGGAGGCUUAUAUAUACGUAGGAGGCUUUCUUUCAGCCUUAUCUCCGUUUCCUAGCUCAGCUCUCUUUCUUCCUUGCUCUAAAAUCUUUCUAUUCGAGAUCGAGAUGUGUUCGUCUUUCAAUUUUCCUCGUCCAACUACUACUGCGGACGAUCUCGAGAACCUUUACGAGUUUCAUGGGGUCGAUCGUUCCGUUGUUCUUGAUUAGGCCAGAACGGGUGAGACCCCUGAAACCGUGAGAGAGGGCUACUACAGAGCCUAUCUUUCCUUUUUCCAUUCUUGCGGUCUUAUCUUCCCGAUUCCGGAGCCGAUACUUGAGAUCUUGGCGGAUCUUGGGUUAUCCCUCUCUCAGCUUCUCCCAAAUUUCCCCAGGCAUCUUGUUGCGUUUCUUGUUAAGGCUAGGGAGGAGGGUCUCGCUUUUGGUCUUAGCGAGUUUUGUCAGUUCGUUAUGGUGAAACGGAACAAUCAGACCCCUGGGACUUUCCUUGUUUCUUCGCGUCCAGGUCGCUACGUCAUAGAAGAUAUUCAGAUGAGAAGUGGCACGAACAGUUCUUCGUUUUCCGGAUGGAUCGAACAUCUAUGGUGACUUCGAUUUCUCUCGGCUCUCUCGGCGUUGGGCUGAGAAUAUCGGUUAGUUUCUAUGUCGACUACGACGAAUCUUAUAUCUUUUUCAUUCUAAGGAUGUCUUUUUUUGACAAUCAAGAUUGGUCCUUUGGGAACCAAUGAUUGGAGAAAACUUCUGCAGUGUAGCAGAAGAACCAUAACUCGCCGGUUUGGAGCUGAAUCGAGGUGGAGGCACAGCGAAUGUGGUUGCCACCGAUUGUAUGUAUGAUGAAGAAUCGCGAUAGAAAAGUGGACGAAUGCAUAAGUUAAAAUUGGUGAAUCAGUAGAUGUUCUCCGAUGGAAAAGGUUCAACAAGAAGAGAGAAGGAGUGAGUCGGCGGUGGAGUGACUCUAGAGCUUUCUCAAUGUCGGGAAGAGACCAAGGUGGAGAUUGUAGAGAUGUGGUCUCUAUUAUCCAGUUGGGCCGAUGACAAUGGGUUAAUGCCCAUCCGCGAUGUCUGAGUGUGUUAGACUUGAAGCGAUAAGGCCUGCAGCGAUAAGGCCUGCAGCGAUAAGCCCAUGAAAUUUAGGGUACUCUCCUCAUCCUGCAUAUAUAUAGCGACUAGUUGGUUUCCUGAGGUUUACGGGAAACAGAAAGCAGAUUGUGGAGAUCAGGAGAAAGCAGAUUGUCUUGGUUAAAAGAUCAUCUGAGCUUACCUGAGCAGAUAGCAGUCGAAGUAGAAGAACUAGGUUGUUGUUCUUAGCUCUAAACUUUGGUGAAGUAGUAUUUAGAGCUUACGUCUCUUGUAUUACUCUCUUUAUACUUGAGAUAGUGAAUUGGAAGCAUAGGUCUUCCCCCAGACGUACCACAAAGGAACUGGAUAACCAAAGCUUUGUGUCUUGUCUCCUGUAAAACAAACAAACAAAUUGUAUCAAGUUAAAUUGAUCAAGUAUUAGCUAAACAAAUCUAGCUAAAAAACUUAGGUUUAAGAUAAUAAAUCCGAAACUAAACCUUACAGCUUCACCUGCUUAUUGGUUGUUUGUGUGCUCCACAGAUUUCAGGGAUCAUAUGCUUCUUUUGUUUUUACUUUAUUUUAAGUAAUCCUUGAUAUGUUUCUAAAUUCUGGCUCCGAGUCGUAUUGUUUACCUCAUCGGCUUAUGGCUUCGAAAGGCUGUUUACUUUGUUGGUUAUGUGCACUUCAAAGUUUUAACUGAAUGAAAAUCCAUCAGAUGACAAAAAAAAGUAUGCAACCACAUAUUCUCUCUAAAUUCUCGCUUUACUAUGCUGUCCUCUUUUAUUUUUAGUUAAAACUCCUACAUAUUUACCCAAAAAGCCCUUUUAUUCGUUAUGUCUCUGGACAAACCUGGUCUGUCGGUUAUUUUUGUUUCAAAUUUUUACAUUGGCAGCUUAUCUUACAACAUCACCAUUAUGUCACAAUUCAUCACAAUGUUGCAACAGUGAGCAAUUAUGUCAAAGUUGUUAUGCUGUCUACUUUCCUCAUAUUAAUUAGUCAUUGAUUAUCAUAUAAAAGUUGGCUACGACAAAGAUCAUUACAAAUUGUGAUAAAUAGCUAUACUGAUUCCAUUUUCAAGAAAAUAGUUACUGAUUUAUGACUUUAAAUUAUAGUCACCAAAUCAUAUCUUAUAUAAUAUAUAUUUUUGAUAAAAAAUAAGUUUCUUAUCCUAAAUAACCUUUUCAAAUUUAUUAACUUAAAUAGGUUUGAUUCAAAAGAUUCAUGAAGGUAUGUUAUUUUCAUCGUUUAAAUGCUAUUUGAUUUUUAUUAAUCUAAAAUAGAUAUAUACUAUUUUAUAUAUUAAGAUAUAAUAUAUAUUAACAUCCAUGGAAAUAAAAAGAAUGAAAUUUAUUAUCAUUAGUCAGUUGACCUCGGUCACCGAAUCUCUACAGUUAUUAAAAAGAAAACUUAUUUUCUUAUAGUUAUAAAUAGUCUCCAAGUUCUUCACUUUAGUUACACAAACAAAUCAAACAGAAAUAAAUUACAUAUUUGUUCAAUAUAAAUGGAGAAAGCAGCUUUGAUAUUUAUCGGUAUUCUAACUUUCACAACAUGUACGAAAAUGUUGGUACAAUCUUGCGACGACGAUUCUGAUUGUAAUGUUCUGAAAUGUACAAGUGCAGCCAAGAUCAUGUGUGUGCAAAACAUAUGCCAGUGCGCUAAUGAAAGACACCUGGGUUUUUCCUUUGGCCCCUCUGAUUCCAUAUGUAAUGCCCGUGUUUGCACUCCCAUAUGCAGGUCAAAAGGGGAAUAUUUUCAAGCUUGUCUCAAUGGCCAAUGUAAAUGCGGCACAUAUCCAUCUCGAUAACAAACUUGAUUACAUUAUCAAAAGAAGAUACGAUAAUUUUUAGUCAAAAAAAAAAGAAGAAUAUAUGAUAAUAAUUAAUAAUAUAACUUUCGCAUUAUCACCUUAAAAAUAUAAUUAUAUAAUUUUGUAAUUCAAAAAUACAAUUAUUUCUAAACAUAGAUGAUUUAUCGGGAAAAUUAUCAAAAAUGACUCAAAACUUGAUUUUGAAUACAAAAGUAUAUCCCAAAUUCAAUCAAAUACAAAAGUAACCCAAAAAGGUAGUGAAAUUACAAAAACUUCCUUAUGACAAAACAAAAAACAUGUAUUGAGUUUCACCAUUAUAACCUUCCGCGUGAGAAGACAUACAAAUAAUUAUUCUCAUAGUGAAAUUACAACAACCUCCUUAUGACCAAACAAAAAAUAUGUAUUGAGUUUUACCAUUAUAUAACCCUCCGCGUGAAAAUAAUUUAAAAUUUUGAUAAAAAAAUAUUUUGAUGGGGAAAAAAUUAAAAUCAUGUUAUAAUAAACAUUUAUAAAUGAUAUAUGUUUAGUUUUACUAAAAAUGAAUUAUUUUUAACAUAGAUGAGUGAAUGUAGACUGAGUCAUGAUAGUCUUUGGUUUAGGGUUUGGUAACAUAUGUUGUAGUAGUGUUGAUAUUUUUAGGGUAAGAUUUUGAAAUCUUAUAUAUAUAUAUAUAUAUAUAUAUUAAAUUUGACUUAUAUGUGUUUACUGACUAUGUAAUAACUCGAUUUAGACACUUUCUAAGUAUAUUUUAAGCUUAAUGAAGUGAUUUUUCUUAGUUAUUUGAUUAUAGAGUCUGGAAGACUCACAUAAGACUUCCCAAGAAGUCUUCUGAUAUAUUCCGCCUAACUUUUAUUAGAAUUUAGGGUUCCCACCGCCUAAAUCAAAGUCUUCCAGAAGUUUUCUACGGGAAGUCUUCUCACGUAUUAGAUCUUAAAAGUAAUUAAUGAUUUCUUAAAACAUAUUUUGAAAGAGAAAAAAUCGAAAUCAUAUAUUACUAAGCAUUUCUAAAUGAUAAAAAUUUAGGUUUACUAAAAUUAAAUUAUUAUUAACAUAGAUGACUAAAUGUAGAUUGACUCAUGUUAGCCUUUGGUUUAGGGUUUGGUAACAUAUGUUGUAGUAGUGUUGGUAUUUUUAGGGUAAGAUUUUGAAAUCCUAUCUAUUUUUUUUUCUUUUUUUUUUAAUUUGACAUAUAUGUGUUUAGUGACUGUCUAAUAACUUGAUUUAAACACUUUCUAAUUUUCUUUUAAAUUUAAGAUGUGGAUUUUGCUUAGUUGUUUGAUUAUAGGGUCUGGAAGACUCCCAGAAAACUUCUCAAAAAGUCUUCUUGGCUGAAUGGUUUAGAAUAUUUCUUGAGAAGUCUUCCAGUGUAAUUUAUGUUAGAAGACUUCUAAACCGAACGAAACCUUAAUUUUAACUUCAAUUUUAAUAUAACCGAAAAUAAACCAAUAUAUAUUUAACCUAAGCCGAUAAUUUAAGGACAUAUAACUAGUAUUUUUUUUUUCACUUUUCGGUGUUUUAAGAAAUUGUUUUAGUAAAAACGCGAAAACUCUUGAUGUUUGCUCUGAGGCGAUUUCAAUGGCGAUUAUAAAGACGAUUUUCGACGAAACUCUUCUCCGUCCUUUUCACCUCAGGUAAUCUUGUGUUUUCGGCAAAUCUUGUUUCUCCUUCCUCGCCGAAGUUUAUUUUUGUACAUUAAACUAACCCCCUUGAUUUUUUUUUUCAGAUCUGAAACCGUUUCUGUUGUAGUCGAACUCCACUUCUAUUAAGUUCUUUAUGUUUGCUGUCGACUUUUCAUUUCAGAACUGAUACCGUUCGUUUCUCCAUCGUGACUUAUUCUUUCCUAUCGAGUUUGGAAGAUUUGUAACCAUAGCUGUCGUCGGCGAACAUUAUCUGUUUGGACCUCAACUUCUCCGCUUUCCGACUGUAAGUUCACCCAUUUGUUUGAUGUAUAAGGGUUUCUCUCGAUUUGAUUAGUCUUCUACCGGAAUCUUUCAGAAGACUCCAGAGAUCUUACGGAAGACUUCCGAAGACUUUAUGAAGAAUUUCUAAAGACUCUAAAGUCUUCUGGAAGUCUUUUGGAAGUCUUCGGGACGUCUUCGCAUUUUGGUUUGUUUGUUAUGUUCCGUUUGUGUUUGAGAUUUUUUUUUUCAGUGUUUUGUAGGCUAUAAAAUGGAAUUACCAGAACUUCCGAAGAGGAUCUUCACCUUAGGGGAAUAGCCCAUUGCAUCGAAAAGCAUUGCGUAUGACCCAAAGUUGCUUCCUUCAUGUACAUGAUGAUGAAUGGGAGGAGCUGAAGAAUUCAAGUUUGGGAGUGUUCAUCAAGUUUUGGGAGUUGAAAUUUGGAUGGACGUCAAGGCUGGUUUAUUAUAUUCUCUGUUUCCAGCUUGAUAUCAAGAAGAAGUAUGAGCUAUGUUGUCUUAUUGGUGUAGAACCGUUGAGGUUAUCCCUGAUUGAGUUCGAGCACCUUACUAGUCUAAACUGUGAAUAUAAGGAGAAUUUGGAAAAUCUGGAUGUAGAGGUGACAAAUGAAUUGGCUCGUUUCAUGGAGAUACUAGGUGUGGAUAUUGAUGCUGGUCCAAGUUCUCAGAAAAUAAUAGCAGCAUGUCAGAGAUGUGGAGAGUGGUCUUGGGAUGACUGCAUGCGGCUUGGAUACCUAGCCAUCUACACAUGAUUCAUUGAAGGGGAAAAGUACUCAAACUCUACACGGGCUAGUCCUGCAAUGCUAAUGAUGGAUCUUGAAGAAUUUGAGACCUACCCUUGGGGGGGGACUGGCUUUUAAGUUCCUGAUGGACUUUGUGAAGUGCAAAGAUUUGACAAGGACUUAUAUUGUAGAUGGUUUAUUCAGGUUCUCCAACUUUGGGCCUAUUUUGCUAUGCCUGACUUUGCCGCAAGCUUUGGAAAGCCUAUACGAAACAAGCCUAGUCCCCUUUUGCUGCCUUACAUGGGACAUAAAGGACGAAAUUUGUCAAAUAGGCUAUAACCACACAAGUAUAUCUGAUUAUUCCCAAUAAUGUAGUUGAUAUUUACUUACUUGAUAUAUAUAACUUGAUAUUUACUUACUGCAGACUCGCGUGUUAAACUAUGUAGCGAAGAAGAUUGGUGAAAUGUUCCCUAAAUUGGACAAUGAUAACACUGAUGUGGCGGUUGAAAAGUUGGUGAAAAUUUCAUGGUUGCUUCUAAAGGUUCUUGGAAGUGGACCCAAGAGUGUUCGGCAGUCGAAGGUACUAAGCCGUUGACCAAUCAUGUCUAUGUGAAGCAAGAACCUCCUCAGCAGACUGUGAAUGAAGAUAGAAGAGCUCAGAAGAGAGCUCGUACAGAGAUGUUUACGGAGGCUCCUUCAGAGCCUACUUCAGAUCCUCCUACAGAAUCUUCUGCUUCUUGGAAUUGGCUUAAGAGAGGAAAGAAUGAACAAAUGUUCAAGGAUAUGACGAAAGUAAUGACUAAUGGGUUUGGGCAGUGCGUAAAAGAAAUGAAUCUUCUUGUGGAUAAAAUGGAAUAUGUGGAGAAGAAGGUGGGAAUCAACCAGAAAGGCACUAACUCUAAUGAACUUCAACUCACAGUUUCAGACCUGACUAAGCCUGCGCUCGAACCAGGGGUUAGUACCAAAACCUCUCCCAAAACAAAAGUACAGAGAAAUACUGGGCAAAAUAGUAGGAAGUUGAAGUGAAAGUUGUACGCUUCUUUGUGCUCAUUUAUGUUAGAAGUCUUGGAUUGUGGUUGGUUGUAUGGAUUUUGUUUCAUGUGAUUUGGUUAUACUCAACAACGAUCUUGACAUUACUAUUGUAAUCAGAAUUGCUGAGUGAGAGUGUGAAUCAGGAGAAAGUAAGAAGUCUGAAUAAUGUACAUGAUGACAACAUAGAUCCGAGUGGUAUUAAAGAACCGAGUGUUGUCAUUAUGGACAAACAAAAAUCAACCAUAUCAGAUUUAAUGAAGCAGGACGGGAGAUGCAAGACAAAGAAAGAUGAUGUUAUGGCACUAUGCCGGGCAAAGAGUGAUCGAGAAAGGAAGCUUGAUGCGGCACAUCAAUCUUCUUUUAAGGGAAACCGAACAGCCAAACUGAUCAUUCCGACCAAGAAGAUUGGUCAUGAAUAUGAUUUGUUUGCCACCGUUGACAAGCAUAAGGUAAAAGUGCUUGUUGAUUAUUUGAAAAAAAGAUCCAUAAGUAAUUUUCUCACACAUGCAUAUUUGUCCAAACUGAUUGUCAAGUUUUGCUGAUUGAGUUUUGCUUUUUACAGGGAUUAUAAACUACCUUUUCUUUAAAAAAAACUCCUGGAAGUGAGAGUUUGUGGUAUGCCAUCCUCCGAACCCCCAUGAAAUGGCUCGUCGACUCCGUAAGUCUCGUAAACAAGUACCCCUUUCAAAGACUUCGGGAAGACUUCCAAAAGACUUCUAGAAUACUUCAAAUUACUACAGGAAGGCUUACAAAAGACUUCUCGAAGUCUUCCCGAAGUCUUCUAGAAGUCUUCCCGAAGUCGCCUGGAAGUCUUCUCGUAGUCUUCUGGAAGUCUUCCCAAUUUCUUUUGAAAAAUCUGUCUACCUUGUUAUGUUUUUAAUGCAAAAUGUUGAUGGUUUUAUCAAUUUACUGAGGCUUCGGUUUUCAAACAAUCCAGAACAUUUUAGGACUGAUAGCCUUUGCUUUCUUGAUCAUCAUUUUGAACAGAUGUGGAUCAACAAGUACGGGGAAUUUAAGAGCUCAGAGACAGGUUACAACGGUUUAGGAAGAACGCUCCCUGCCGGGUCGUAUAAUCUGUAUGAAGGCUUAGCUCCAAAAUAUCGCCAAACAAAGAAGGUUUGGGGAUCAUAUGUGGAUGAUAUAUACGCGCCAGUAAAGUACAACAACGAUCAUUGGAUUGCUAUUUGGAUAUCGAUCCCUAACAAACACUUAACCAUCUGGGACAGCACUCCUACUCAUAUUAGAACUGCUCAACUGGCCGAGUUAAUGAAGCCUUUUACCACAAUGGUCCCUUAUUUGCUUGUUGAAUUUCCCAGCUCCGACUAAGAGCGAGUCAGGUACACACUAGAGCCAUUCACAUUGAGAGAGUGAAAGCCGGAGUACCUUUGGUAGAAUGUGGUGAUUGUGUGUGUACGCCUUGAAGUACAUCGAGUGUCAUGCUCUUGGCAUGCCAUCAUUUCAUCCUGCCUUUUGUAAUUAGAACGUGAAGGGUAUUAGGGAGAAGAUGGCGACAAAGUUGUUUGAACAUGUUCUUGCCUAUGGCACAUUUAUCACCAAAGACUAUGAAGACUUUGAUAUGCACGAACCACAAUAAUUUGUAGUUUGUACAAGAACCUUGAUGCUUUUGUCCGCUUUUGUAACCUUGAAGUACGUUAAAAGGGUAGAAGAUAGGAUUGACCUUUUUUGUAACCUAUCCUCGUACCAAACUAGCCUUGCACAACUAGUUUGUAAGGAUUAACUUUUUUUUAUAAUGUUUAAAUUUAAUUCAUAAAUCAUAACACAAUAGAUAAAUCAUAAUACAAUAGAUAGUUCAUAAGACAAUAGAGAAAUCAUAAGACAAUAGAUAAGUCAUAAGACAAUAGACAAUUCAUCACACAAUAGAGAAGUCAUAACACAAAGAUAGAUAGAUAGGUGGAAGACUUCCCAGAGAAAUAGACUUUCAGAAGACAUACAGAAGACCUCCAGAAGACUUACUGAAGACUCACAGAGAAGAAGACUUGAAAAAGACUUAGAAGACGUACAAAAGACCUUUGGAAGACUUACAAAAAACAUCCAGAAGACUUACUGAAGACUCAAAGAGAAGAAGACUUACAGAAGACAUAGAAAAGACCUUUGGAAAACUUACAGAAGACCUCCAAAAGACUUACUGAAGACUUACAGAUCAGGUUGGUUGCAGUUUGGACGUGUAAGACCAGGCUGUCUGCAGUUUGAGAAGCUAUAAUCCUUGUGUAGCUUCCGCGGUUUGUGUCCUCUCAUCCUGGAUAGCUCCAACCCAGAUUGCCAUCUUGACUUCUAUUGUCGCCCCGGACCACGCUUUUCUUUCGGAGGAAGACAUUUACAUGGCUCAACUACUUAAACAGAAGGAUAUAUAUUCCUUUGAGUAUAGUUAUAUCACUCAAAUUACCGUAAAGAGUGUUAUUCUCAUCAAAAGAGGUCGAGUUAUAGUACUUAGGGAUCGAAUCCACAAGGAGCUAGGGAACCGAUUAGAUCUAAACAAGUUACAAUAAACUAGGCUAAUAGAUUAUAAAAUAGCAA